rnacentral:lncRNA from 10 species
GAAAUAAGUUUUUGAUGUGGGGAUUUUUUGUAGUAGGGCAGGGUAAGGAGGAGGCGAGGGAUCAGGAAAAUCAGUUAGAAGGCUGUGGCAAAUAAUCUUGGCAAAGGAUAGGACAGUCAGAUUAAACUGCAACAUAGGUCCUGGACAGUCCUUGUCCCAAAUUUCCAGGAGAGAACUUCAGAGUUCCUUGCUUGGUGGAAGAUAGAGAAGAGCUGAAGUUUACCAAGUGAGCUCCUGAGCCCAAAAUACGCCACACCCUGGGAGGAGAGGAACGCGGAUCUCAGAGAGAAGCAACAGGGCAGGAUGGAAACCUGGCCCUGAAUGAAGAUAACACCUGUGGUCUUUCCCCACCACACCUCAGGGAGCCAAAUAGCAACUCCUAGCAUAAUGGAUGAGGUUAUCCCACUGCAGAAAAGCCCUUGAAAACCUGAAUAUCUCCCUGGCCAAGAGCAGCAAGCUGACAUCUCAGCAGGACCAUAUGAGUAAUGAUUCCUAUUUGGUGAGCAUUUAUAUAAGCCAGGCACCAUGCCAAACGCUCUGCAAUAUUCUCUCUCCAAACUUCUCCCGGACUCCGUGAAACAGGAUUUUGAAACCCAACUUGGAGGUGAGGAAUCUGAGCCCAAGAGAAGUUCAGCAGCUUGCCGAAGGACAUGAGACUUGUUAAGCAAAGGGCCAGGGUCUGAAGCCACAUCAGACCGACUCCAUGUGAAUCUAAGGGGUAGUCCAGGGCUGAGACAAUUUUAUGUUUGGCUCAGAGUGUCCGCAUUGGCACCAGAGACCAAAAGCAAGACAACCUCCACAGGUUAACCUCGGAGACUAGAGCCCCACUGGAAAGGGAGAAGUCUGAGAAUUUGGGCUGGGCUGUAAUCCCAGCACUUCGGGAGGCUAAGGCAGUGGAUCACCUGAGGUCAGGAGUUCGAGACCAACCUGGCCAACAUGCCUGUAAUCCCAGCUACUUGGGAGGCUGAGGCACGAGAAUCACUUGAGCCUGGGAGGUGGAGCUUGCAGCAAGCCAAGAUGGCGCCACUGUACUCCAGCCUGGGCUAUAGAGUGAGACUCGCUCUAAAAAAAAAGAAGGCUGAGGAUUGGGUGGAUUAAGAAGGGAGUGGUGAGGCUUUUCGUGGGGAAGUGGACAGUAUUGUUCACUGCUCUGCCUGCCCGUGCCUUGUCCUGACCCCCACAUGAGGAGGGGAGAAGGGGAGCUUCUUUUUUACUCAGGCCAACUGAGGUGGGCUCCCAGUGAACCAUCCAGAGAAAGUAGCCUGUGUUCCUUGACAUUUAGCGGGUAUAAGGACUGGUCACGAGAUGGGGUACUUUGGGAAUGUCCUAGUGUCUGGCUGGGCAAGGAUGCCUGGGGAUUUCCAUGGCCCAGAUGGAUCCCCAUGGCAAGGAGCAGAAUUAAAAUGGUCACAACACAGUUCAAGAGGACUCCUAGAAGGGAAGAUGACCCCUCAGAAGGGACAGAUGAGAGCUGGACUGAGGGAAGAGGCAGAGCACCCAGCCAGAGAAGCCAAAGCCAAGUCAAGGGACCAUAGGUGGGAGAACUCCAGUGACAGGGAAGGGCUGUGGGGGCCCAGGGACCUUCAUGCAAGACAAAUGCCAAUAACCACAUAGCGAUCUUGAAGAGGGCCCCAUUGCCAAGCUCUUCCUGCAGCAGUCAAAUUACACCUUAUCUGCUUCUUGUCUCUCCUGUCCACCUGCACUUGAUGGAAGUGGUAGUGAGGGGAUAAUAGCAGCUAGAGAAUGGGGGCAGAGGUGCCCA